AACUUUCGACAACUGAUCUCUUGGCUCUCGCAUCGAUGAAGAACGCAGCGAAAUGCGAUAAGUAAUGUGAAUUGCAGAAUUCAGUGAAUCAUCGAAUCUUUGAACGCACCUUGCACCCUUUGGCAUUCCGAAGGGUAUGCUCGUUUGAGUGUCAUUGUACUCUCAUGCUCCCGAUGCUUUUGGAUCGGGAGUGGUGGACUUGGGUGUUGCUGCUUUACUGUGGCUCACCUCAAAUGGAGUAGUGCAACUCUUGGUUGGACAUAGUACGGCGUGAUAAGUGUCUUCGCCGGCGCCUCAUUAGAGGGUGGCCGAUCGGGAGCUCUGUGCUUCAAACCGUCUUCGGACAACAUCUGACAACUUGACCUCAAAUCGAGUAGGACUACCCGCUGAACUUAAGCAUAUCAAUAAGCGGAGGCU
rnacentral:misc_RNA from 1 species